rnacentral:rRNA from 1 species
UACGGGGGGGGUAAGCGUUGUUCGGAAUUACUGGGCGUAAAGGGCUCGUAGGCGGCCAACUAAGUCGGACGUGAAAUCCCCAGGCUCAACCUGGGAACUGCGUCCGAUACUGGAUGGCUUGAAUCCGGGAGAGGGAUGCAGAAUUCCAGGUGUAGCGGUGAAAUGCGUAGAUAUCUGGAGGAAUACCGGUGGCGAAGGCGGCAGCCUGGACCGGAAUUGACGCUGAGGAGCGAAAGCCAGGGGAGCAAACGGG